AUGCAUCAACUAGGGGGCGGG
rnacentral:piRNA from 1 species